GUCGUCGGGUAUCUAAUCAAGACACAACAAUCCCUCAGUAUGUCCGAAUAUGAAUGUUUUAUUUUUAUUUUUGAAAAGAUUGGAGUGGGGGAUGCUUAUAAAAAUUAAAUAUUUUUGUUGUGUUCACACAUUGUUAACAAUAUAAUGGCAAUGUAUAUGACUGUCAUACAAGUGAGAGGUUAAGCGAGCUAUAAACCAAGGUUUAAUUCCCCACUUUCUUAAUCGGGAAAUGUUUGUACGAAGUCGGUAAUAUGACAGUUGUUUUCCAUUUCCA
rnacentral:lncRNA from 1 species